rnacentral:rRNA from 1 species
CAUUGCUACCUCGGGCUAUGAUCUCGUCAGAUCUCAUAAGCGAAAUGGGGUCAGGCCUGGCCGCUGUAGUGGGAUAAACCUUYAGGAAAACCCGGACG